GGGGUCCUGUGGCUUUGCACUGGUCGGAACCGUCGCCUGUGUUCACGACUUGGAAGUCCAGUUAAGUGUUUGGCUAAGUUCAGAAGGAAACGUGUUUUAAGACGCUUGUUGAGGCCUGGAGAGAUUGCAUACAGCAGUGCUGAGGAUCAAAACCAGUUUCUCGUACGAAUGCAAGAGCUGUACCACUAAGCCAUUUGGAGCCA